GAGUUUGAUCCUGGCUCAGAUUGAACGCUGGCGGCAGGCCUAACACAUGCAAGUCGAGCGGUAACAGGGGGUGCUUGCACCCCGCUGACGAGCGGCGGACGGGUGAGUAAUGCAUAGGAAUCUGCCCGAUAGUGGGGGAUAACCUGGGGAAACCCAGGCUAAUACCGCAUACGUCCUACGGGAGAAAGGGGGCUCCGGCUCCCGCUAUGGGAUGAGCCUAUGUCGGAUUAGCUAGUUGGUGAGGUAACGGCUCACCAAGGCCACGAUCCGUAGCUGGUCUGAGAGGAUGAUCAGCCACAUCGGGACUGAGACACGGCCCGAACUCCUACGGGAGGCAGCAGUGGGGAAUAUUGGACAAUGGGGGAAACCCUGAUCCAGCCAUGCCGCGUGUGUGAAGAAGGCUCUCGGGUUGUAAAGCACUUUCAGCGAGGAAGAACGCCUAGCGGUUAAUACCCGCUAGGAAAGACAUCACUCGCAGAAGAAGCACCGGCUAACUCCGUGCCAGCAGCCGCGGUAAUACGGAGGGUGCGAGCGUUAAUCGGAAUUACUGGGCGUAAAGCGCGCGUAGGUGGCUUGAUAAGCCGGUUGUGAAAGCCCCGGGCUCAACCUGGGAACGGCAUCCGGAACUGUCAAGCUAGAGUGCAGGAGAGGAAGGUAGAAUUCCCGGUGUAGCGGUGAAAUGCGUAGAGAUCGGGAGGAAUACCAGUGGCGAAGGCGGCCUUCUGGACUGACACUGACACUGAGGUGCGAAAGCGUGGGUAGCAAACAGGAUUAGAUACCCAGGUAGUCCACGCCGUAAACGAUGUCGACCAGCCGUUGGGUGCCUAGCGCACUUUGUGGCGAAGUUAACGCGAUAAGUCGACCGCCUGGGGAGUACGGCCGCAAGGUUAAAACUCAAAUGAAUUGACGGGGGCCCGCACAAGCGGUGGAGCAUGUGGUUUAAUUCGAUGCAACGCGAAGAACCUUACCUACUCUUGACAUCCUGCGAAUUUGGUAGAGAUACCUUAGUGCCUUCGGGAACGC
rnacentral:rRNA from 1 species